rfam:Gorilla gorilla gorilla genomic chromosome, chr3, whole genome shotgun sequence
GCUGGGUGUAGUGGCACACACCUGUAGUCCCAGCUACUCAGGAGGCUGAGGUGGGAGGAUCACUUGAGCCCAGGAGUUCUAGCCCAGCCUGGGCAACAUAGUGAGACACCAUCUCUA